AACGCGAAGAACCUUACCUACCCUUGACAUGUCCGAAACUUUCCAGAGAUGGAUUGGUGCCCGAAAGGGAAUCGGAACACAGGUGCUGCAUGGCUGUCGUCAGCUCGUGUCGUGAGAUGUUGGGUUAAGUCCCGCAACGAGCGCAACCCUUGUCCUUAGUUGCUACGCAAGGGCACUCUAAGGAGACUGCCGGUGACAAACCGGAGGAAGGUGGGGAUGACGUCAAGUCCUCAUGGCCCUUAUGGGUAGGGCUUCACACGUCAUACAAUGGUCGGUACAGAGGGUUGCCAAGCCGCGAGGUGGAGCCAAUCCCACAAAGCCGAUCGUAGUCCGGAUUGUUCUCUGCAACUCGAGAGCAUGAAGUCGGAAUCGCUAGUUAUCGCAGGUCAGCAUACUGCGGUGAAUACGUUCCCGGGCCUUGUACACACCG
rnacentral:rRNA from 1 species